UACGUAGGGGGCAAGCGUUGUCCGGAUUUAUUGGGCGUAAAGAGCGUGUAGGCGGCCAGGUAGGUCCGUUGUGAAAACUGGAGGCUUAACCUCCAGCUGUCGAUGGAAACCAUCUGGCUAGAGUCCGGAAGAGGAGAGUGGAAUUCAUGGUGUAGCAGUGAAAUGCGUAGAGAUCAUGAGGAAGACCAGUGGCGAAGGCGGGUCUCUGGACAGUUCCUGACACUGAGACACGAAGGCCAGGGGAGCAAACGGG
rnacentral:rRNA from 1 species